rnacentral:rRNA from 1 species
UACGGAGGGUGCAAGCGUUGUUCGGAAUUACUGGGCGUAAAGCGCGCGUAGGCGGCUCUUUAAGUCUCACUGUGAAAGACCGGGGCUCAACCCCGUGCGAGCAGGGGAUACUUGAGGGCUGGAGACCGGUAGAGGCCAGCGGAAUUUCGGGUGUAGCGGUGGAAUGCGUAGAGAUCCGAAAGAACACCGGAGGCGAAGGCGGCUGGCUGGGCCGGGUCUGACGCUGAGGUGCGAAAGCGUGGGGAGCGAACAGG